AUUGAACGCUGGCGGCAUGCCUUACACAUGCAAGUCGAACGGCAGCACGGGAGCAAUCCUGGUGGCGAGUGGCGAACGGGUGAGUAAUAUAUCGGAACGUGCCCAGUCGUGGGGGAUAACGCAGCGAAAGUUGUGCUAAUACCGCAUACGAUCUAUGGAUGAAAGCGGGGGAUCGCAAGACCUCGCGCGAUUGGAGCGGCCGAUAUCAGAUUAGGUUGUUGGUGAGGUAAAAGCUCACCAAGCCUGCGAUCUGUAGCUGGUCUGAGAGGACGACCAGCCACACUGGAACUGAGACACGGUCCAGACUCCUACGGGAGGCAGCAGUGGGGAAUUUUGGACAAUGGACGAAAGUCUGAUCCAGCAAUGCCGCGUGCAGGACGAAGGCCUUCGGGUUGUAAACUGCUUUUGUACAGAACGAAAAAAGUCUUUAAUAACACUAGAGGCUCAUGACGGUACUGUAAGAAUAAGCACCGGCUAACUACGUG
rnacentral:rRNA from 1 species